UACAGAGGUCCCAAGCGUUGUUCGGAUUCAUUGGGCGUAAAGGGUGCGUAGGUGGCGCUGUAAGUCGGGUGUGAAAUUUCGGAGCUUAACUCCGAAACUGCAUUCGAUACUGCCGUGCUUGAGGACUGGAGAGGAGACUGGAAUUUACGGUGUAGCGGUGAAAUGCGUAGAUAUCGUAAGGAAGACCAGUGGCGAAGGCGGGUCUCUGGACAGUUCCUGACGCUGAGGCACGAAGGUCAGGGGAGCAAACGGG
rnacentral:rRNA from 1 species